rnacentral:tRNA from 1 species
GCCUGGAUGGUUCAGUAGGUUGAGUGUCUGACUUGGGCUCAGGUCAUGAUCUCAUGGUUCAUGGGUUUGAGCCCCAUGUUGGGCU